AUGACCCCUAGUUAGGCAAGAUCACUUUCUGAGUUUAAGCAUAUCAAUAAGCAGAGGAAAAGAAAUUUACUAGGAUUUCCCUAGUAAUGGUAAAUGAACCGGGAAAAGCCCAGCUUAAGAAUUAGGUAACCUUUGAUGUCCAAAUUAUAGUUUGGAGAAGCAUCCUCAAUGGCAAAUCGAGCCCAAGUCUUUUGGAAAAGGGUGUUAGAAAGGGUGAGAACCUUGUUAUGCCUAGACCCUAUCACACCAUAAGGUAUUGUUUGUGAGCUGGGUUGUUUAGAAAAGUAGCCCCAAUCAAGCAGUAAAUUUCAUCCAAGACUAAAUACAUGUGAGAUAUUGAUAGUAAACAAGUAUCGUAAGGGAAAGAUGGAAAAAACUUUGAAAAAAAGUCAAAGAGUGCUUUAAAUUGUUUAGAGGGAAGCAAAUAGGGCUGAUAAUGCACCCUAGUCGGAUGCCAAAUGACGAGAACUAAUCUUCAAUUGCCUUAGAGUGUGAACAAAGGGGUCACAGUGGUAGCCCAAGGUUGAGCUUUCGAUAUACCCAUGGAGACAUUGUUACUGCAAUCAUGGAAUGUAGCAAGUGUCGUCUUGGUGUGCCUUAGCACUUCGCACUCUUAGCGUCAACCUAUGGGCUUCCUAUCCAGCCUAUCUUGAAACAUGGACCAAAGAGUCUAACAUGUGUGCGAGUCAAUGGGCUAGAAAACCCAUAAGACGUAAGGAAGUUGAUUGGUAGGAUCCCUGGUGGGUGCACUGCUGAUCGACCUUGAUCUUUUGAGAAGGGUUCGAGUGUGAACAUGCCUAUUAGGACUCAAAAUAUGGUGAACUAUGCUUGAAUAGGGUGAAGCAAAAAGAAACUUUAGUGAAGGCCCAUAGCGAUAAUGAUGUGCAAAUCAUUUGUUUGACUUAGGUAUAGAGGUGAAAGACUAAUCAAACCAUCUAAAAGUUGGUUCCUUUUGAAGUUUCCCUCAGGAUAGUUAGAGGCCUUAGUGAGUUCUAUCAAAAAAAGCAAAUGAUUAGAGGCAUCGAGGGCAAAAUCCCUUUGACCUAUUCUCAAACUUUAAAUAGGUAAAAUGGUGCAGCAACUUCAUUGAGCUACGCCAUGGAAUUGAGAGCUCCAAGUGGGCCAUUUCUUGCAAGUAGAACUAGUAAUGUGAGAUGAAUUGGAAGCUAACUUAUAGUGCCCAAUUUCACACUAACCUAGAACCCAUAAAGGGUGUUGGUCGAUUAAAAUAGCAAGACAGUGGUCAUGGAAACCAAAAUUCAUUAAAGAGUGUGCAAUAACUCACCUAUUGAAUCAACUAGCCCUGAAAUGUAUGGUGCUUAAAUGCAUGACCUAUACCCAGCCAUCAGGGACAAGGGCUAAGCCUCGAUGAGUAGGAAGGCAUCAUGAUUGCAGUAAAACCUGAGGCAUGAGCUUCGGUGGAGCAACCAUUAGUGUUGAUCUUAGUGGUAAUAGUAAAUAUUCAAAUGAGAACUUUAAAGGCUGAAGAGGGGAAAGGUUCCAUGUGAAUGGCACUUGCACAUGGGUUAGUUAAUCUUAAGAGAUGGGAAAGCCUAUCUAAUAGUGCAUCUAGCGUGAGCUUCAAAAGGGAAUUAAGUUAAAAUUCUUGAACUGGGAUGCAGCAGCUGUGGCAAAGUUAGAGAGUUCAUAGAUGUCAAUAAAGCCCUUAAGAAAAGUUAAUUUUUCUAUCUAAUGGCCUAUCUACCUUAGAAAUGGCUUAGCCAGAGGUAAAGGCUAGCAACUGAAAGAGCAUUGCACGUUGCAUGCUGUCCAAUACACCUCUUGUAGCCCUUGAAAAUCUAAAGUAUCAAGUGUCAUUCGUGCUUGAUUAUACUCAUAACCGCAUCAGGUCUUUAAGGUGAACAACCUCUGGUCGAUGGAAUAAUGUAGGCCAGGGAAGUUGGCAAAAUGGAUUUGUAACCUCAAGAAAAGAAUUGGUUUUGAGGGCUAGGCAUGAGGGAAACCCAUCGGCUACCAGUGAACUGCUUGAGCUAUUUUCAUGGCAAGAGUAGGUCAUCGUAUGCUAGUUGAAGGACGGACUGAGAAUAGCUCCCUUAGGGGCAUUUCUUUGGCAACUAAUGAUUGACUCAGAAUUGGUACGGACAAGGGGAAUCCAAUUGUUUAAUGAAAACAAAUCUAUGAUGGUCCCUAUGGAUGCUCAUGCAAAGUGAUUUUUACCCACUGCAUUGAAUUUCAUAGUGAAAAAAUUCAACCAAGCACUCGUAAACGGUGGGAGUAACUAUGACUCUCUUAAGGUAGCCAAAUACCUUAUUAUCUAAUUAGUGAUGUGCAUGAAUGGAUUAAUGAGAUUCUCAUUGUCUUUAUCUACUAUCCAGUGAAACCGUAGUCAAAGGAAUGGGCUUGGUAGAAUCGAUAGGGAAAGAAGACCUUGUUGAGCUUGACUCUAGCCUAACUUUGUGAAAUGACUUGAUAGGUGUAGGAUAAGUGGGAACCCUCAAGCAAAAUUGAAAUACCACUACUUUUAUUGUUGUUUUACUUAUUCUAUGAAUCGAGGCAAGGCAUGACCCUUUUUUUUGGACCCAAGGCUAGCCUUAGUUAGGCAAUCUAGGUGGAAGACAGUGUUAGCUGAGGAGUUUAGCUAGGGUGGCACAUCUGUUAAAUGAUAAUGUAAGUGCCCUAAGAUGAGCUAAAUGAGAAUAAAAAUCUUAUAUGGAACAAAAAGGCAAAAGCUCAUUUGAUUAUGAUUUCCUAUAUGAAUAUGAAACUGUGAAAGCGUAGCCUGUCAAUCUUUUAGAGCUUUAGAAUUUGAAACUAAAGCUAUUAGAAAAGUUACCAUAGGGAUAAUUGGUUUAUGGCAGCCAAGUGUUCAUAGCGACGUUGCUUUUUGAUCCUUUGAUGUUGGCUUUUCCUAUCAUUGUGAAGUAAAAAUCACCCAGCGUUGGAUUCUUCACUCACCAAUAGGGAACAUGAGCUGGGCUUAAACCAUUGGGAGAUAAGUUAGUUUUACCCUAUAGUAAUUCAACUUAGUAUGAGAUAAAUUGUUGAUUCACACAAUUGGUCAUCAUGCUUGGUGAAAAGCCAGUGGGACAAAGUUACCAUGUGCUAGAUUCUAACUAAACACCUCAAAAUCAAAAUCUAAGCUAAAAGUGACACAUGCACCUAUUGCCCAAUUACUGACUUGCAGUAGGGGCCUAUGGCCCCCAAGGGCACGUAUCGUAGGUGUAGCCCUCGUGGUAGACAAGCCAUAUAGGCCUCCUUGGAGUUCAAUUCCCAUUAAACAGUGGGUAAAAUCCUUUGUAA
rnacentral:rRNA from 1 species